UACAGAGGGUGCGAGCGUUAAUCGGAAUUACUGGGCGUAAAGGGUGCGUAGGCGGCGCGGUAAGUCGGGUGUGAAAUCUUGGAGCUUAACUCCGAAACUGCAUUCGAUACUGCCGUGCUUGAGGACUGGAGAGGAGACUGGAAUUUACGGUGUAGCGGUGAAAUGCGUAGAUAUCGUAAGGAAGACCAGUGGCGAAGGCGGGUCUCUGGACAGUUCCUGACGCUGAGGCACGAAGGCCAGGGGGAGCAAACGGGG
rnacentral:rRNA from 1 species